UUGGCAAUAUUGACAACCAAAUCGAUUCUAUCCGCACCACCCAGAUGUAGUUUAACGUUAUUAACAGUUUGAGGAAUGGUCUAUUAUGGCGGUAAGCUCCAACGAGGAUGAUACGCGAAUCUCGUAUUAUCCUCGAUUUCGUCUGUUAUCACCGUUAUCGCGCUUUACUACAAGUUUUAGUUCAAUGAAAAUACAGGAAUAAUUCCAACAAAAAUCCGCCUGCGUUUAAGAGAAAGUGAAAUGAAAAAGUUACAAAUAAUGCUUUAUUUGUCCAACAGCAAUGCCAUUGAGGCCAAACGUACUUAGCUGGAAUGGAUUUGCCGGCGGCUUUGGACCAAUACCAGGGAGAUAAACCGCGGGUACGUGGCUAGUGGAUCGAAGAGUAUUUUACCAUUUACUUCUACAAAUUGUUCAACUCCAUCUUCUCAAACAUCCCCCCAUAUGAGGCACGAUCGUUUCAACCUUAGCCAUCGCACCCAACCCCGUAUCGCCGCACAUCAGCGUCUUGGUCACAUAUGGAAUCACCCUGAAGCCCCACGACCGGAGCAUCUCGAUCUGCGGUCCCGUGCACGGAUGAUCCACGACGGUUGUUUGUUAAAGUUAAAUUCCCUCGCCAUACAAAGUUGCAGUUUGUCACACGAACCGUAUGCCAUUUUGGCUAGUGUGUUCGCGUCCUGCAAUGCCACCAGCAUCAGAUCGGCCUUCUUGCCCAGCUCAAUUUGUAGGACAUGAUGACCACGACCACCCCAACUACUCCACUAGUCGGCGUCCCGUUGGAUGAGGACAUGUUCUGGGAUGUCCGAGGCGGAGAAGAAAUGCAACAAUCAAUUUAAUGUUUACGCCCGCUAUAGAUUCACGAAGUUUUUGGAAUAGUAUUUAACGUUAAUUUAAUGGUGGUAACUAAAGUUUCCUUCGCCUGAAAUGUUGGAUGUUACAUAGGAAGCAGUACGGCGCUGUACAAUGAAUAUAAAGUAUGAGAAGAAUCAGAAUGAUACGCGUUGUAUUUA